GUGCCUACGGGGGGCAGCAGUAGGGAAUUUUCGUCAAUGGGGGAAACCCUGAACGAGCAAUGCCGCGUGAGUGAAGAAGGCCUUCGGGUCGUAAAGCUCUGUUGUAAGAGAAAAACGGUAAUGAUAGGAAAUGAUCAUUAAGUGAUGGUAUCUUACGAGGAAGCCACGGCUAACUACGUGCCAGCAGCCGCGGUAAUACGUAGGUGGCGAGCGUUAUCCGGAAUGAUUGGGCGUAAAGGGUGCGUAGGCGGCCUGCUAAGUCUGGAGUGAAAGGUACCGGCUCAACCGGUAUAGGCUCUGGAAAC
rnacentral:rRNA from 1 species